rnacentral:rRNA from 1 species
GCCUACGGGACGCAGCAGUAGGGAAUUUUCGUCAAUGGGCGCAAGCCUGAACGAGCAAUGCCGCGUGAACGAGGAAGGUCUUCGGAUCGUAAAGUUCUGUUGAAGGGGAAAAAGAGCGGAGAGAGGAAAUGCUUUCUGAUUGAUAUUACCCUUCGAGGAAGUCACGGCUAACUACGUGCCAGCAGCCGCGGUAAUACGUAGGUGGCGAGCGUUAUCCGGAAUGAUUGGGCGUAAAGGGUGCGUAGGCGGCCUGCUAAGUCUGGAGUGAACUGUACCGGCUCAACCGGUACAGGCUCUGGAAACUG